ACUACGGGUGGCAGCAGUGAGGAAUAUUGGUCAAUGGGCGGAAGCCUGAACCAGCCAAGUAGCGUGCAGGAUGACGGCCCUACGGGUUGUAAACUGCUUUUAUACGGGAAUAACGCGCCUUACGUGUAGGGCUUUGCAUGUACCGUAUGAAUAAGGACCGGCUAAUUCCGUGCCAGCAGCCGCGGUAAUACGGAAGGUCCGGGCGUUAUCCGGAUUUAUUGGGUUUUAAGGGAGCGUAGGCCGCAUGUCAAGCGUGAUGUGAAAUGUCCGGGCUCAACCCGGGCCUUGCAGCGCGAACUGGCGGGCUUGAGUCCGCGGAAAGCAGGCGGAAUUCGUCGUGUAGCGGUGAAAUGCUUAGAUAUGACGAAGAACCCCGAUUGCGAAGGCAGCUUGCUGCAGCGGAACUGACGCUGAUGCUCGAAAGCGCGGGUAUCGAACAGGAUUAGAUACCCGAGUAGUC
rnacentral:rRNA from 1 species